UAAGGAACUAAUAAUUUAAGCACCAAGAUUGUUAGCUCCUCUGGUUCAAAUAGCCCCUCUCUUCAAACUGAGGGACAAGAUAAGCUACUCUCAAGACUUCAUUCUUCCAUA